rnacentral:rRNA from 1 species
UACGUAGGUGACAAGCGUUGUCCGGAUUUACUGGGCGUAAAGAGCGCGCAGGCGGUCGUUCAAGUCGAGUGUGAAAGCCCCCGGCUCAACUGGGGAGGGUCAUUCGAUACUGAUCGACUCGAAGGCAGGAGAGGGAAGUGGAAUUCCCGGUGUAGUGGUGAAAUGUGUAGAUAUCGGGAGGAACACCAGUGGCGAAGGCGACUUCCUGGCCUGUUCUUGACGCUGAGGCGCGAAAGCUAGGGGAGCAAACGGG